UCCCUGGUAGCUCAGAUGGUAAAGAAUCUGCUUGCAAUGCGGGAGACCCCAGUUCGAUCCCUGGGUCAGGGAA
rfam:Ovis aries breed Texel chromosome 2, whole genome shotgun sequence.